rnacentral:rRNA from 1 species
UGGGAAUUUGGACAAUGGGCGAAAGCCUGAUCCAGCAAUGCCGCGUGUGUGAAGAAGGCCUUCGGGUUGUAAAGCACUUUUGUCCGGAAAGAAAUCCUUGGCUCUAAUACAGUCGGGGGAUGACGGUACCGGAAGAAUAAGCACCGGCUAACUACGUGCCAGCAGCCGCGGUAAUACGUAGGGUGCAAGCGUUAAUCGGAAUUACUGGGCGUAAAGCGUGCGCAGGCGGUUUGCUAAGACCGAUGUGAAAUCCCCGGGCUCAACCUGGGAACUGCAUUGGUGACUGGCAGGCUAGAGUAUGGCAGAGGGGGGUAGAAUUCCACGUGUAGCAGUGAAAUGCGUAGAGAUGUGGAGGAAUACCGAUGGCGAAGGCAGCCCCCUGGCAAGUACUGACGCUCAUGCACG